UUAACACUUAACUUGUCAUUCAAAACUGUCACAUGGGCGACAACUACAGCAGGUAUAAAUUUAACGCUGAAGAAAGAAUGUACUACCCAGACAUGUUUCCAAAAUUUUCUUGAUCAGAUAGAAAACAUUACAGUACUCCCAUUGGAUGUAAGUAUUCAAGAGAAGAAUCAUAAAUUAAU